ACCAUAUCAGGAUGGGCGAGCUGUCUCCAGCUAAGCAAAUUAACCUAUUGAGAAACAAAAGAGAAUGCAAGUUAACAGGUUCUGAUUUUGCCUAUGAAAAUGAGCUUCAGAUGUGAGGUUGUGAUCUAUGUAAAUUAAAUGUAACCCCUCAGUAUCAGAAGAUAAUUCCACUUGGGCCACUUAAGGCCAAAAAAACGUGCUAACGGUCCAUGCUGCAACACCAGAUUAAGUGUGUCAGCUUCCUUCCCAUUCCUCUGAAAGAGUUGGUGCUGGCCUUUGCCUUUCACUAAAUGGUGGCCCAGGUGGACCAGAGCUGCGAUGCAGGCUGUGAGAGGAUGCAGAGAGAGAGGACUACCCUGGACAUCUUCGAGGACUCAGAAGUCUAGAUGGAGCCAUGCCACAAUAAAUGGGGCCACAGCCUUCAGUGGACACCAGUACCUGCUGUGCCAGGAACCUCUCACUUGCCCUGAUUGUUAGACUCGAAAAAGAUUGGUGACUCAAACAGCAGGUCAUUCACUUGCCUUCAUAUAUCCAAGUGGAGAAAAGUACAGCUGCUGGCACUGCAAUGAGUUUAAUCUCUUUCUGUCAUCCACAGACUAUUUUAUUUUAUUUUAUUCUUUUAUUUGUGAUCACGUGUGUUAAAAAAAGCAAAAGAAACCAACAACCCAUAAUUCUCCUGGCAACACUGAGAUAUAUUUCCGUUUUUUCGGGCUAUUUCUGUUGUUGUGUUGUUAAAGGAUACUCGCCUGGAACCAUCCAAACUUUCCACUGAACUAUUAAAAAAAAAAAAAAAAAAAAAAAGGCACAAUAGAAUAAACUGGAAAGCACAUCUCUAUGCACAAAUGUCAGCACACUGUUGGACAUGGGAUUUGUAUUCAGACAAAGUCUUGCUUUCUUUCUGGGAAAAAGACUCUUACUUAAAAACAAAUGGUUUAUAAAACAAUGCAAAGAGACUGGGAAGACCACUUUAUUGUGAAAAACUUAACAUUCAAAUAACACCAUGUGAGAACUUUCAGUGGUCAGUGAUGGGAGCAGCCACAAAACAACUUGGAGUAUGAUCGGGGGAACUAGAAACCACUUACUGGGGCUUAAAUAUUCAGCUCAAACAGAUACACUGGAUUGUGCUGUGGCCAGUAUGCAGCAAGUUCAGCAAUAACCAGCUUCAAACUCUUCAUCCCCCAACCCUUCAUCAUCAUUAUUGGACACA